GUGAGUGUAACAUUCGUCCCCAGUGCGUCGGUGGAGACGUCGCCUACCGUCUGCCAGAACUCUCUGAGCUUAGGGCAGGUCCACCAGAUGUGGUACAUCGUUCCCGGUUCCUGUGAACAUCUCCAGCAGAGUCUGGAUGUGUUCGGGUAGAUGCGCGCCAGCCUGUCUGGUACCAUGUACCAGCGAUACUGGAUUUUCCUCAUCAGUUCUAAGUGUGAUGCGCAGCUUGUCUUUCCUUUAUGGGCUAACAUUGCUGUUUUCCAGCUUUUGACGUCAAAGAUUUGGUGCAGGUCGUCGUGCCAGUCUGUCAUAAAUUUUUCAUAGCUACGUUCCGUCGGGACUGUCAGUUCACGGUAAAUGGAGGCUAGUAACUUUUUUGGCGUGGUAGGGGCUAGGAAGGCUUUCUCGAAGAAAGCUAUGGUCGGCGGCCGCGAGAGUGCGGGGCUGUGUGUGAGGAGUGCUUUUAGUUGGAGGUAUGAGAACACCGCUCUCGUCGGUAGUUGAAAUUUGCGUUGUAGGUCAGGGAAUGGCAAAAUUCCGUUGCUUCCUAACAGUUGGCCUAUGGAGGUGCAUCCACC
rnacentral:lncRNA from 1 species